UAGGGAAUCUUCCGCAAUGGGCGAAAGCCUGACGGAGCAACGCCGCGUGAGUGAUGAAGGUCUUCGGAUCGUAAAACUCUGUUAUCAGGGAAGAACAAAUGUGUAAGUAACUGUGCACAUCUUGACGGUACCUGAUCAGCAAGCCACGGCUAACUACGUGCCAGCAGCCGCGGUAAUACGUAGGUGGCAAGCGUUAUCCGGAAUUAUUGGGCGUAAAGCGCGCGUAGGCGGUUUUUUAAGUCUGAUGUGAAAGCCCACGGCUCAACCGUGGAGGGUCAUUGGAAACUGGAAAACUUGAGUGCAGAAGAGGAAAGUGGAAUUCCAUGUGUAGCGGUGAAAUGCGCAGAGAUAUGGAGGAACACCAGUGGCGAAGGCGACUUUCUGGUCUGUAACUGACGCUGAUGUGCGAAAGCGUGGGGAUCAAACA
rnacentral:rRNA from 1 species